rnacentral:rRNA from 1 species
GUGCCAGCAGCCGCGGUAACACCGGCAGCCCAAGUGGUGGCCGCUUUUAUUGGGCCUAAAGCGUCCGUAGCCGGCCAGGUAAGUCCCUGUGUAAAUCUUCAGGCUUAACUUGAAGAAUUGCGGGGAUACUGCUUGGCUUGGGGCCGGAAGACGUGGAGGGUACUCCGGGGGUAGCGGUGAAAUGCUGUAAUCCUCGGGGGACCACCAGUGGCGAAGGCUCUCCACGAGGACGGGCCCGACGGUGAGGGACGAAAGCCAGGGGCGCGAACGGGAUUAGAUACCCCGGUAGUCCUGGCCGUAAACGCUGCAGGCUUGGUGUUGCACGCUCUACGGGGGCGUGCAGUGCCGAAGCGAAGGCGAUAAGCCUGCCGCCUGGGAAGUACGCUCGCAAGAGUGAAACUCAAAUGAAUUGGCGG